rnacentral:rRNA from 1 species
UACGGAGGAUUCGAGCGUUAUCCGGAUUUAUUGGGUUUAAAGGGAGCGUAGGCGGGUUGGUAAGUCAGUUGUGAAAGUUUGCGGCUCAACCGUAAAAUUGCAGUUGAUACUGGCAUCCUUGAGUACAGUAGAGGUAGGCGGAAUUCGUGGUGUAGCGGUGAAAUGCUUAGAUAUCACGAAGAACUCCGAUUGCGAAGGCAGCCUGCUGGACUGUAACUGACGCUGAUGCUCGAAAGUGUGGGUAUCAAACAGG